rnacentral:rRNA from 1 species
GAAGGAACGAUGAGUUUGAUCGUGGCUCAGGACGAACGCUGGCGGCGUGCCUAAUACAUGCAAGUCGAGCGGAUCGAUGGGAGCUUGCUCCCUGAGAUCAGCGGCGGACGGGUGAGUAACACGUGGGUAACCUGCCUGUAAGACUGGGAUAACUCCGGGAAACCGGGGCUAAUACCGGAUAACAUUUUCCUCCGCAUGGAGGAGAAUUGAAAGGUGGCUUCGGCUACCACUUACAGAUGGACCCGCGGCGCAUUAGCUAGUUGGUGAGGUAACGGCUCACCAAGGCGACGAUGCGUAGCCGACCUGAGAGGGUGAUCGGCCACACUGGGACUGAGACACGGCCCAGACUCCUACGGGAGGCAGCAGUAGGGAAUCUUCCGCAAUGGACGAAAGUCUGACGGAGCAACGCCGCGUGAGUGAAGAAGGUUUUCGGAUCGUAAAACUCUGUUGUUAGGGAAGAACAAGUACCGUUCGAAUAGGGCGGUACC